rnacentral:rRNA from 1 species
AGGAUUAACGCUGGCGGCGUGCAUGAAACAUGCAAGUCGAGCGCGGUGUGAUGAGGGGUAACCCAAUUCACAUCUAGCGGCGAACGGGUGAGUAACACGUGAGCAACCUACCUUUGAGUUGGGGAUAGCCCUGGGAAACCAGGAUUAAUACCCGAUGUGGUCACAACAGGACAUCCUGAUGUGAGUAAAGGCGUAAGCCGCUCAAUGACGGGCUCGCGGCCUAUUAGCUUGUUGGUGGGGUAACGGCCUACCAAGGCGAUGAUGGGUAGCUGGUCUGAGAGGACGAUCAGCCACACUGGGACUGAGACACGGCCCAGACUCCUACGGGAGGCAGCAGUUAGGAAUUUUCCGCAAUGGGCGAAAGCCUGACGGAGCAACGCCGCGUGAGUGAUGAAGACCUUCGGGUUGUAAAGCUCUGUCGGAGGGGAAGAACACAAUGACGGUACCUCCAAGAAGCCCGGCUAACUACGCGCCAGCAGCCGCGGUAA